UGCCCGGUGCUUUCGUGAUAGUAGUGGAGGGUUUUUUGCAAUGUUCAAAUUUGAAUUUGGGCCGCAAGGCACACGGUAACAUGCAAAGGUGCAUGUCACCUGAUCUGUGUCCCCCGUGACCAGGCUGCCCCAUCCACCCAAGCCGGAUGCAAUUCAAAAUUCGACGCAGCUGCAGCUGCAUCGACCGGCGGAACCAUGUCCUCCCCAUCGCCGUGCCUGGAUCUCAAGAUUUCUUCAUGAUUCACCAAUGAAUCUCGGUGGGGAGUCAUUCACGGAUCUCCUGUUCAGAUCUGGCAUUGCUAGAGGAAGGGGAGGACGACGACGAGUGUGGGGGCGGAGGGACAUAUGGCGUUACCGAUUCUCCUUCCUCAAGUUCUGCAUCUCAAGUUCAUGUCCUAGAUAUUGACAACACUCGCGGUCACAGAGAACCCCCAUCUGAAUCGCAGCGCACUCCAACUCCGUGGCCUCAAAGGGUCUGACUUGGCAAGAUACCCGACCACCGCGCCUCAUUAUCGGGAAGGAAAAGUGCUUUGGAGAAGGCCAUGAGAAAUUACGCAGAUCGGGCAAAGCCUACAAUCUCUCGUGCAGUGUCCGUGGACAGCUUUUGUUCAUAACCCUUGGAGUGCGUCCCAGAUCAGAGAUCGCCAGAGGAGGAAGACGGCGGCGAGUGUUCCUGCACAUCGCUUCUUCGUCCUCAAGCCAAGAUGGAGAGAAAUCUGCUAGCGACGCAGAAUCUGAAGUUCCGGAGGCCAUGCCAGACUUCUGGCCUUCCAACUCCGUGGUUGGGAAGGUAUUAUCUCUCUGUCGCACUCCUAAAACGAUUGAACUGGGCGUGUGCUUGCAGUAAAAUAGUAGUCUGGACCCGGAUUUUAUAAGCUUUCUCAGUUGGAAAUUAUAGUGGGCAUUGACUUGUAUAGUAAACAGCAAUUGAGUGGAGGAAUGAUUCAACUAGGCAAGUGUUUUCAGUAAAAUAGUAGUCUGAAGAUUAAUUCAGCACUGUCAAUUGAAAUUGGUCAUGGGCAUUGACAUCUACAGCAAGGAAAUUUGAUA